UCUGGUAAUGAUGGCAGAGAGGUCACACCCGUUCCCAUACCGAACACGGAAGUUAAGCUCUC
rnacentral:rRNA from 1 species